AUUGAACGCUGGCGGCAUGCCUUACACAUGCAAGUCGAACGGCAGCACGGGUGCUUGCACCUGGUGGCGAGUGGCGAACGGGUGAGUAAUACAUCGGAACAUGUCCUGUAGUGGGGGAUAGCCCGGCGAAAGCCGGAUUAAUACCGCAUACGAUCUACGGAUGAAAGCGGGGGACCUUCGGGCCUCGCGCUUUAGGGUUGGCCGAUGGCUGAUUAGCUAGUUGGUGGGGUAAAGGCCUACCAAGGCGACGAUCAGUAGAUGGUCUGAGAGGACGACCAGCCACACUGGGACUGAGACACGGCCCAGACUCCUACGGGAGGCAGCAGUGGGGAAUUUUGGACAAUGGGCGAAAGCCUGAUCCAGCAAUGCCGCGUGUGUGAAGAAGGCCUUCGGGUUGUAAAGCACUUUUGUCCGGAAAGAAAUCCUUGGCUCUAAUACAGUCGGGGGAUGACGGUACCGGAAGAAUAAGCACCGGCUAACUACGUG
rnacentral:rRNA from 1 species